rnacentral:lncRNA from 1 species
GCAAAUCUCCGAAUGGAAGACCCUGAGCCAUAAGGAAGAUCACAUUAUAUGCACUGGAUUCCACUUUCCAAAGAGAAGGCAGAGAUACUCAGAGUGGAUAAAAAUGCAAGACGCAGUGCUACGCAGAGAAGCUGAAAGAAAAGAUGGAAAAGGCAAACCACGCAAACAGCAGUGGGAAGAAGGCUGGAGGGGCUUUGUGAAUAUCAGAUAAGAUCCCUGAAGACGGAGCGUUACCAGAGACAAUGAGGGAUGUUCAUAAUCAUGAAACGGUGUGUUUACCAGGAAGACAUAACAGACAUAACAACCAACAAUGUAUAUAAGCCCAGUAACAGAGUUUCAGAAUCAUGAAGCAAGCCUCAACAGCGAUGAGGGAGAAGCAGGCAGACCCUGGGCCAACUUCCUCGGAGGGCUGCCGGGUGCACAGGGCUGGGGUGUUAGUACAGGGGUCCUAGUCGACACCCAGCUAUGCACGCUCUGCAGAACUGUCUACAAACCAAGAGAAAACCCCUUUUCCCCUGCUGUGAUCAGAAAUCCUGACUUUAAUUCCAGUUGCAGUGUGUGUGGCAGAAUGUGGCCCGUGAGUCAGAGGUUCUGAGUUCCGGUUGUGACUUGGCCACUCAAUUCGUGACCUGGAAUAAGUCAUACACUUCGUUGAACUACAGUUUCCUUAAAAGUCAGUAGACAGUUUAAAAAGUCAUCAGAUAAUGUUUAGGACCAUUUCCACCUCCAGGAAUUGGAUACUCAUUCUGGGCUUUGGAUAUUUUAACCAUUUUUACAAAAAGGUAUGAGGUAUACAGUUUUAUUGCAUAAAGUCUUUGAAGAAUUAUCUAAGUAAAACCAUUUCCCUUGAAAGCAUAUUGAGGAAAUUUGAAUAAGGCUGGAAAUAUUUUCAUAAUCUUGUGCUUGCGUAGGAAACACACUAAGUCCUUUUGUGCGGAACUUAACAUCUGUGGCAGCUAGAUUCCCUCACUAGCUUACCCGCUCCCCACCCUCUUCGUGGAAUUGUUGUAACCAUAGAAAGUAAAUCCAGGUACAAAGCACUGGCUCCGCCUUCAAGCACCUUUGGGAAGUGGUUUCAUCUCCAGUGCCUCAGUGCUCCCGUGAUUGAGUAAAGGGAGAAAGGAGUCAUCCCCAGCUCACAGAACAGUCCUGCGGCCCGGGGAGGCAGUGCCUGCAGACAGCCUGGAGACCCCGGAACCUGCUCGGCCCUCCCCUCCUGCUAGCUUUCUGCAGUUCCCCAUCCCCCAUUCUGCCUUCUCUCAAGGUAAAAUUGUGGUUACAGCAAUUAAAGGUAUUCAAACACAGCAGAGCAGAUUUACUCGAUCAGCUGUGAUGGCUUUGCAGGCACCAGGUCCUUCAAGGCGAGGCUGGAGGGUGCGGACUGUCCUCCCUGCUGGGUUUGGAAGGCUUCCCUGUUCCUGUCCUCUCUGGUCAUGACCUGUGGUGACUGCGUCAGGAGUAUUUGUUUGGCUCAGCAUUAUUGAUUUAUCCUGCAGUAUUCCUUUCCCGAACUGAGAGAGGUCCAACAGCAGCAAGUUAAAGAAAGUCAACCUUUUGGGAUAUGGCCAAGGAGGCCCUCUUCCCAGAGAUUUGGGCUUCACCGGCCACUGCAAGUAGCCUGCAGGGUUGUCAUUUUGGAUGGCUGUGGGGCAGUACACUUGGAGGCAGGUGGCUGUCUGCAAUCCCCUCAGCUUCUUUGAACAUGUGUUAAGAUACGGUGGCAUCUGCAAGUGGAAGCUGAUGCUCAAACCGAAUCGUGCCUUCACAGCCCCUGGGGCCUCGGUACCCAGAUUCUGCAGGUGAGCAGGUCAGGAGUGGGGCCCAGGCUUCUGCAUUUCCAGCAAGCUCCAAGGUGAGGCUGAAGCUGUGGGCCUGUGGACCCCACUUUGAGAAGUGGGCUUUAAGGAAACCCGUGUCACAAAUGACGCAACCUGCCUUGUGUGUUUUCUUUGUCUCCCAUGAGAACGUGAGCACGAUUUCAGUCAGCAUAGACUUCUACGGAAAAACAUUCAUUCAGAAACAUACAUCAUGCUGUCUCCUCUCCGCCUCCUCUCCCUUUUCCCUGGAUCUCUUUCCUUCAGACGUUGUGAUACCAGCUGAACCAGAAGCCAAUGGCAGCUUGAAACAGCAGCUUGCUCCUGUAUCUGAGGAUUCUGUGGUCCCGAAUCAGCACGUGUCACAGAUGUUUGGAGGAGACCGAGAGUGUGCUGUCGGCACGCAUCGUCCGUGAAGCAAUGGGGCAGAGUUCAUCCCUUACUUCAACCUAUGCAUCGCUGUUUUGUGCAUCGUCAUAAAAACAACACAUUCCAAAUGCACUGUCAUGGGCUUGGAAGGAAAAUAAUAAAGAAAACAAACCCCAAAUGAAAUUGCACAAUGUCUAGAGUGUCUUCAGUGCGUUUUCUUCUGCCUUAAAAAACCAACCAAACAAAAGCGACCUACUUGAGACCAUACAAUGAGGCAGACACUGGAUGUUUAGCUCCCAGCCCCUGACCCCCCUGCCGGCCUGGCAAGGUGAAUCUUGGGGAUAUACAGACCUCCCAGCUGCCCUGGUUGCUGGGUGCAGGUGCAGGACCCAGACUCAGCCAACAGCACACACAGCCAGCUCUAAAGUGGAAGCUGGUGGCACAAGGCAAAAGGCCAGCAUCCUUGGCUUCGGAGGUGGCUUCAUCCCCUCUUCAGGAGCAGUGGGUCAGUGGCACUGGGCCCGUGUCCAGUCCUGACCUGUGCUGGCCCUGGAGCUGCAGUAUUGCUGCCCCCCAGGCCCCUGGCUGGGCUCCUGGUCCUGCUGCUGCUCGGCCUCUCCCUCGUUUCUGACUCACGUCUGAGCCGGGUUCUCCAGCAGUUCUGUGAAUUACUCCCAAUAUGAGAUUUUCAAUUAGUCUCAUAUUGGCUUAAAUCUGCUGGAGUCAGUUUCUGUUGCUUGCAGCUAAGAACCUGCCUGAUGGACAUAACAGAGACAGUUUCAGGACCUGAACUUCUCAUUUAACUGCAUGUCUUCAUUAGCUUGGAUUUUUCUCUCGUCAGAGCUUCCUCGUGUGAACACUUUGGUUCAUUCUUCCUUACUAUUUAUCAUUGCAAGCACAUAUAUGGGCCUUGCUCU